rnacentral:misc_RNA from 1 species
GAUGAAGAACGCAGCGAAAUGCGAUAAGUAAUGUGAAUUGCAGAAUUCAGUGAAUCAUCGAAUCUUUGAACGCACAUUGCGCCCGCUAGUAUUCUGGCGGGCAUGCCUGUCCGAGCGUCAUUUCAACCCUCAAGCCCCCGGGCUUGGUGUUGGGGAUCGGCGAGCCUCCGCGCCCGCCGUCCCCUAAAUCUAGUGGCGGUCUCGCUGUAGCUUCCUCUGCGUAGUAGCACACCUCGCACUGGGAAACAGCGCGGCCACGCCGUUAAACCCCCAACUUCUGAACGUUUGACCUCGGAUCAGGUAGGAAUACCCGCUGAACUUGAGCAUAUCAAUAAGCGGAGGA